AGCAUGAUCUGUGGAUUGCCACAGAGUGCUUACCACCUGUGCUGCCACCGACACCUUCACCCUUCUCUGCCCGCUUCAGACUGCUCUUCCCGAUGGCUAGGCUGCCCCCUGCGUUAUCUCUAGGUCUCUGGCCCAGCCCAGAGAUUGUACAUGGAAGGGAGGCAGCACAAAAGAAUAAAAUCUUUGAAUCGGCUGAUGUUCAUCAACAGACAAGCUGAGUGUGGAGAAGGUCUGAUGCCAGAGACUCCUGAAAAGACAUGUGAGCCUCUACUUCAGGACUCAAGAAAAGGAAGCAACAUCUGUACACCAUCUCCAUGAAUACAGAAUUUUUGAACAAAGCUGGGAGUUCACUUAUUUCAAACAAAAUUUAUUUAAACCAGAUCAAAAAGGACAGCAAAAGUUUAAUGUGAUUUGAUCAAUAUCAAGUUAUACUUUUGGCAGAGAUAUUAUGUUGGAUCUCUCCAUAGGGAGCUCUUGGCAAAGAACUGUGAUGUAUUCGUGUCUCUAAUUUUGUUUACCUGCCAUUUUCCCCAUUGGCAAAUAAUCUGUAUAUAUUUUUCAAUGAACUUGCACAAUAAACGCGAGGGGAUAAUAA